GGAGGAGGUGGGACGACGUCAAGUCAUCAUGGCCCUUAUGUCCUGGGCUACACACGUGCUACAAUGGCCGGUACAGAGCGCAGCGAGGCCGCGAGGCGGAGCGAAUCGCUUAAAGCCGGUCCCAGUACGGAUUGGAGUCUGCAACCCGACUCCAUGAAGUUGGAAUCGCUAGUAAUCGCGCAUCAGCAUGGCGCGGUGAAUACGUUCCCGGGCCUU
rnacentral:rRNA from 1 species